rnacentral:rRNA from 1 species
AAAGUCUGACCUGCCCUAUGAUAUUAUAUUAAAUGGCCGCGAUAUUUUGAUCGUGCAAAGGUAGCAUAAUAAUUAGUUUUUUAAUUGAGAACUGGAAUGAAAGGUCGAACGAGAAAAAGACUGUCUCAAUUUAAAUUUUAUUAGAAUUUUAUUUUUAAGUAAAAAAGCUUAAAUAAAUUUAAAAGACGAGAAGACCCUAUAGAGUUUUAUAUUUAUGAUAAUUUUUGGAUUUUUUAGUAUUAUUAAUUUGAAUUUUUUUUUAAAUAUUUGGUUGGGGCGAUUAGAAAAUUGAAUAAACUUUUCUUUAUUAUUAACAUUAAUAUAUGAAUUUAUGAUCCA